rnacentral:lncRNA from 1 species
GCCAGGACAUCCAAAGAGACGUUUUCCUACAGACAACUCCCAUACAGAAGGCAGCAGCCUCAUUCCUGGCUGCUGGAAUCAAAGAUGCUGUUGUGACUAGACUGGCUUCAAGAAGAAGAGGAUUAUGAACACACAGUUUCAGGAGCCUCUGCAACAUGCAAUGAGUUUAGUCACUGGGAUUUGUGAUGACAACUCUCUAUGAAAGCAGCAAAUAUCAAAGGAACAGCUCCAGAAGUAUUGCUAAUGAGUGCAAGGGAUGCUGUUCUCACAGGCUGUCUACUUCCAAAGGAGAUGGAGGGGGUGGGGAAGAAGCCACGGCCUCUCAUCUUUCUCAGGAAAACAAUCCAUUGAUUUUGGCCUAAGUCAAAUCAACAUAAUUAUGUCUCAAAAUGUUCUUGAAAACGCUUUGUAGCUACUCAGGAAAGAGAACAAAUGCCCCUUUGUUCCAAUUUUGGAAUGCAAGCUGAGUGCUUAGCCUCCUCUGCACACUGUACAGGGCAAACACAGGAAGCUUCCAUUGGAUUUUCCACUUAAAUGGUUUGGCAUAAACUCGCAUUAGGCAGGCUCCCGGACAGAAACCUGGAGCACUGUGCUUUUGGCCAACUACAGCCCAGAAGUCUGGAGCCAUAACCUUCAACCCCACUGCACUGCAGAGCGCUGUUGUGAGAAGAAUGGGAAAACACAGGGCCGCUGCCAUGUUGUCUACCACAUGCUUAAUUACGAAGUCCUCAUUUUGGUUCUGCAAUUAGGAAAAGCAAAACAUCCCCGACAAGAGGAACUAUGACAAAAGGUCAGUCCUGAGAAGUGAUUGAUGCAUUCCCAUAAGGAGAAGACUCUCAUUCCAAGCCUGGCUGUGGAUAAACACACUUGUCUCCCUCCCCAUGGUGGAAACACAGCUUUCUGCAGUCAGUGAAGUGGCACAACCUGGCCCAGGGCUCCCCUGGGGCUGUGGGGAAGGCAAACAGACGCCUGUGUGGCAGCUGCUGAGCAGAAGACAAGCCUCCAGGCAGGGCUGCAGCCAUUACGCUCCCAUUAGGAAGCUCAUCACUUGCUGUCAGAGUGUUUGGAACCAAUGA